UGAGGAAUUUUGCGCAAUGGGAGCAAUCCUGACGCAGCAACGCCGCGUGGGUGAUGAAGGCCUUCGGGUCGUAAAGCCCUGUCGGGCGGGAAGAACGUCCCUUCGGGGAAUGACGGUACCGCCAGAGGAAGCACCGGCUAACUCCGUGCCAGCAGCCGCGGUAAUACGGAGGGUGCAAGCGUUAUUCGGAAUUACUGGGCGUAAAGGGCGUGCAGGCGGGAGAGCAAGUCUGAUGUGAAAGCCCGGGGCGUAACCCCGGAAGGGCAUUGGAAACUGCUUUUCUUGAGUUCUGGAGAGGAAGGGAGAAUUCCCGGUGUAGAGGUGAAAUUCGUAGAGAUCGGGAGGAACAUCAGUGGCGAAGGCGCCCUUCUGGACAGCAACGGACGCUGAGACGCGAAAGCGUGGGGAGCAAACA
rnacentral:rRNA from 1 species